rnacentral:rRNA from 1 species
UACGUAGGGGGCGAGCGUUGUCCGGAUUUAUUGGGCGUAAAGAGCUCGUAGGCGGCUUGGCAAGUCGGGUGUGAAACCUCCAGGCUCAACCUGGAGACGCCACUCGAUACUGCUAUGGCUAGAGUCCGGUAGGGGACCACGGAAUUCCUGGUGUAGCGGUGAAAUGCGCAGAUAUCAGGAGGAACACCGGUGGCGAGGGCGGUGGUCUGGGCCGGCACUGACGCUGAGGAGCGAAAGCGUGGGUAGCAAACAGG